GAUGAACGCUGGCGGCGUGCCUAAUACAUGCAAGUCGAGCGAACGGACGAGAAGCUUGCUUCUCUGAUGUUAGCGGCGGACGGGUGAGUAACACGUGGAUAACCUACCUAUAAGACUGGGAUAACUUCGGGAAACCGGAGCUAAUACCGGAUAAUAUUUUGAACCGCAUGGUUCAAAAGUGAAAGACGGUCUUGCUGUCACUUAUAGAUGGAUCCGCGCUGCAUUAGCUAGUUGGUAAGGUAACGGCUUACCAAGGCAACGAUGCAUAGCCGACCUGAGAGGGUCAUCGGCCACACGGGAACUGAGACACGGUCCAGACUCCUACAGGAGGCAGCAGUAGGGAAUCUUCCGCAAUGAACGAAAGCCUGACGGAGCAACGCGGCGUGAGUGAUGAAGGUCUUCGGAUCGUAAAACUCUGUUAGUAGGGAAGAACAUAUGUGUAAGUAACUGUGCACAUCUUGACGGUACCUAAUCAGAAAGCCACGGCUAACUACGUG
rnacentral:rRNA from 1 species